rnacentral:rRNA from 1 species
GGGGGGGGCAAGCGUUGUUCGGAAUUACUGGGCGUAAAGGGCUCGUAGGUGGCCAACUAAGUCAGACGUGAAAUCCCCAGGCUUAACCUGGGAACUGCGUCUGAUACUGGAUGGCUUGAAUUCGGGAGAGGGAUGCAGAAUUCCAGGUGUAGCGGUGAAAUGCGUAUAUAUCUGGAGGAAUACCGGUGGCGAAGGCGGCAUCCUGGACCGAGAUUGACACUGAGGAGCGAAAGCUAGGGGAGCAAACGGGAUUAGAUACCCCGGUAGUCCUAGCCCUAAACGAUGAAUGCUUGGUGUGACGGGUAUCGAUCCCUGUCGUGCCGAAGCUAACGCAUUAAGCAUUCCGCCUGGGGAGUACGGUCGCAAGGCUG